rnacentral:rRNA from 4 species
CCCCUGAAUUUAAGCAUAUUAAUG